UGGGGAAUUUUGGACAAUGGGCGAAAGCCUGAUCCAGCAAUGCCGCGUGUGUGAAGAAGGCCUUCGGGUUGUAAAGCACUUUUGUCCGGAAAGAAAUCCUUGGCUCUAAUACAGUCGGGGGAUGACGGUACCGGAAGAAUAAGCACCGGCUAACUACGUGCCAGCAGCCGCGGUAAUACGUAGGGUGCAAGCGUUAAUCGGAAUUACUGGGCGUAAAGCGUGCGCAGGCGGUUUGCUAAGACCGAUGUGAAAUCCCCGGGCUCAACCUAGGAACUGCAUUGGUGACUGGCAGGCUAGAGUAUGGCAGAGGGGGGUAGAAUUCCACGUGUAGCAGUGAAAUGCGUAGAGAUGUGGAGGAAUACCGAUGGCGAAGGCAGCCCCCUGGCCAAUACUGACGCUCAUGCACGAAAGCGUGGGAGCAAACAGGAUUAGAUACCCUGGUAGUCCACGCCCUAAACGAUGUCAACUAGUUGUUGGGGAUUCAUUUCCUUAGUAACGUAGCUAACGCGUGAAGUUGACCGCCUGGGGAGUACGGUCGCAAGAUUAAAACUCAAAGGAAUUGACGGGGUCAUAGCUGUUUCCU
rnacentral:rRNA from 1 species